UACGAAGGGGGCUAGCGUUGUUCGGAUUUACUGGGCGUAAAGCGCACGUAGGCGGAUCGUUAAGUCGGGGGUGAAAUCCUGGAGCUCAACUCCAGAACUGUCUUCGAUACUGGCGAUCUUGAGUCCGGAAGAGGUGAGUGGAAUUCCUAGUGUAGAGGUGGAAUUCGUAGAUAUUAGGAAGAACACCAGUGGCGAAGGCGGCUCACUGGUCCGGUACUGACGCUGAGACGCGAAAGCGUGGGGAGCAAACAGGG
rnacentral:rRNA from 1 species